CACACCGCCCGUCACACCAUGGAAGUUGGUUGCACCAGAAGUCGGUCGCUUAACCGCAAGGAGAGCGCCGCCCCACGGUGUGGCUAAUGACUGGGGUG
rnacentral:rRNA from 1 species